UUGACCAUAGUUUUAAAUAAAAUGGAAGAGUUGUGUCCCGGUUGCCUGUGUUCAGGAAGAAAAUUAACUUACAUUAGCGGAACCUCUGUUUACUAUUUUUACAAACAAAUUGUUGAUGAAAUUGCCGCUCCAGAAGUGCUACCGCAGCUUUCAAAGGUUUGUUGGGAAUGUACAGCGCUGCUCCGUCGAUUCCAAUGUUUCCAGCAGCAAGUAAAGUGCUGUUACCUUGAGCUACUAAUGUGCGUGCAGCAGAAUUCAAAACAAUCACUAUCAAAACCAUCACACCUUCAAUGUCAGUCAGCAGUUACUAUUAGCUUUCCAGAAGUGAAAGUAGAUGUGGAGAUUAAGGAGGAAACAGAGGAAGUUCAUUGUGAACCAGAGACAUUUGUUAACCAGUUAACUUGGGGAGAUGAUUUAGAAAAAGAUGUGCUACCCUGUGAACCUCAAGAUAUUAUAAAGAAACCUGAUAAGGCAGAGAAUAAACAAAAUCUGAAAGGCAAAACAAAGAAAAAGCAGAAAAAGAAAUUAAAACUAAAAAGAAAAACUAAAUUAAAGAAAGAAACAUCUGAGAGUGACCAUGACUUCGACGAUAAUGAGACUGAUUUUCAAAUUGAUGAUGAAAAAGUAGAUCAAAAUAUUGAACAAGACAUAGAAAAAAAUGUAAUAAAGGAAAAUUUAGAUAAAAAUGAAAUAAAUUUGGAGAAUGAAACUAAGGACAAAGACCAAUUAGAGAAAGAAGUGAAUGAAACACAGAUUGAAUUGGAUGAUGAUGUACCUGACGUAAAGAAUGAUGUUUCAGAGAAAGUGAUUGUAAGAAAUAGAGAACAAUUACCCGAGAGGCCUCAAUGUGUUGAAUGUGGGAAAGUGUUCAGUUCAAGGAAGACAUAUCGGUAUCACCUGAAUGUAUUACAUAAAGGCCAGAAUCGUCACCCGUGUCCAAAGUGCGGUAAAGUGUAUCAAUGGAAAUCGAAUCUGGGAAGACAUAUGCGAAGUCAUAAGGCGCGUGAAAGUGGUGAAUUGUAUUGUGUGAAAUGCGACAAGUCUUUUGCGUCUGUGGCGACGUACAGACAGCAUAUACGGGUGUCCAGACGACACGUGUCGGAAAGUGAGUUUACUUUCACAUGCGACGAAUGCGGAAAGAAGUUUGUGAGCAAGACACGCUUGCGUGACCAUGUUGAUUGGGAACAUUUAAACAAGAUUAAAUUCCGCUGUCAGCUGUGUAAUAAGCCAUUUAAAUGCCACACGUCGCUAUACGUACACCUUCAGAACGUGCACAGGAAUAAAGAAAGGAGAGACAACUUGUGCCAUGUCUGUGGGAAAUCAUAUCAGAAUGCAGCGAAAUUAAAAUACCACAUAGUGGCGAUGCAUACGAGUGAGACGCCAUAUCAGUGCGCCGACUGCGACGCGGCCUUUGGGUGGUACUCCUCGUUGUACCGGCACAUCCGGGAAGUGCAUUACAAGAUGAAAAUUCAAGCAAAGAAAAGUAAGAAGGAUAAAAAAUUACAGUUGCAAGAAUUGAUCCCGCUACCCUCAGAACCGCCGGGACCUUAGUUCUUUACCUUCGUCCGCAGUCUGUUGUGAUAAAGUAAUUUUGAUUUUUCAUUACAAAACUAGUAUUAUUUCUAUACAGAUGAAAGGAUUGCCUUUAUAACGAUACAUAAAAUGUCAGUACUUCCAAAAUUUGUUUUGAAGUAAUUUUGUUUGUUACAACAUAAUAUAGGCAGUUCACUGUCGUGAUUCGAGCUUACGACCUCAGUAAUGAGAAUCGACACUUCUUAAACAGUAAAAACAAAUUGCUUUGUUUAAUCGAAAAUAUUUUUUUCCAGUUUUGGUUAAUACAGUAUUAAUUUAGUAGUAGUUAGCACUUUAUUUUAUUCCUGAGUGAGACACUUGUGAUAUUUGAAGAUCUUAAAUAAAAAUUUGAUUAGAAA